rnacentral:rRNA from 1 species
GACGAACGCUGGCGGCGUGCCUAAUACAUGCAAGUAGAACGCACAGUUUAUACCGUAGCUUGCUACACCAUAGACUGUGAGUUGCGAACGGGUGAGUAACGCGUAGGUAACCUGCCUGGCAGCGGGGGAUAACUAUUGGAAACGAUAGCUAAUACCGCAUAAUAUUAAUUAUUGCAUGAUAAUUAAUUGAAAGGUGCAAUUGCACCACUACCAGAUGGACCUGCGUUGUAUUAGCUAGUAGGUGAGGUAACGGCUCACCUAGGCGACGAUACAUAGCCGACCUGAGAGGGUGAUCGGCCACACUGGGACUGAGACACGGCCCAGACUCCUACGGGAGGCAGCAGUAGGGAAUCUUCGGCAAUGGACGAAAGUCUGACCGAGCAACGCCGCGGGAGUGAAGGAGGUUUUCGGAUCGUAAAGCUCUGUUGUAAGAGGAGAACGGGUGUGAGAGUGGAAAGUUCACACUGUGACGGUAUCUUACCAGAAAGGGACGGCUAACUACGUG